CAGUCGCCACGGUAAUACGGAGGGUGCAAGCGUUAUCCGGAUUCACUGGGUUUAAAGGGUGCGUAGGCGGAUCUGUAAGUCAGUGGUGAAAUCUCCAGGCUUAACCUGGAAACUGCCGUUGAUACUAUAGGUCUUGAAUUUUGUGGAGGUUAGCGGAAUAUGUCAUGUAGCGGUGAAAUGCAUAGAUAUGACAUAGAACACCAAUUGCGAAGGCAGCUGGCUACACAACUAUUGACGCUGAGGCACGAAAGCGUGGGGAUCAAACAGGAUUAGAUACCCCCGUAGUCCCUGUCUCUUAUAA
rnacentral:rRNA from 1 species